CAUCCUAAGAGGAGGGCUAGUGCUUGUGUCCAGCUGCUUGAGUUGGAGCUUCUAUGCUAUUCUUCUGGUAAAAAACUUGUAGAUCAUAAUGUUUCUUUAAUAAUUUUACUUAGUUUGGCUUGGCUUUUUAUCCAUAUAAGUAGUGCAUCAGGGCGACUGGAUCAACGAUCACUGCACUAAUAUGGGAGAGAAAUGACCAUAAAGCCU